rnacentral:rRNA from 1 species
AGUGAACGCUGGCGACGUGCCUAACACAUGCAAGUCGAACGAUGAUGGAGGAGCUUGCUCUUCCUGAUUAGUGGCGCACGGGUGAGUAAUGCAUAGAUAAUGUGCCCCUUAGUUCGGGAUAGCCACUGGAAACGGUGAUUAAUACCGGAUACUCCUUCUUACUACAAGGUAAGUCGGGAAAGUUUUUCGCUAAGGGAUCAGUCUAUGUCCCAUCAGUUUGUUGGUGAGGUAAUGGCUCACCAAGACUAUGACGGGUAUCUGGUUUGAGAGGAUGAUCAGACACACUGGAACUGAGACACGGUCCAGACUCCUACGGGAGGCAGCAGUGAGGAAUAUUGCACAAUGGAGGAAACUCUGAUGCAGCAACGCCGCGUGGAGGAUGACACAUUUCGGUGUGUAAACUCCUUUUAAGAGGGAAGAUUAUGACGGUACCUCUUGAAUAAGCACCGGCUAACUCCGUGCCAGCCGCCGCGGUAAGAC